rnacentral:misc_RNA from 1 species
GUUGGUUGAAAGCUAGGAAUAUAUACACUAGUGGGUAUUCAGACCAGAUGUGGAUUGAUAAAGCUCACAAGUUCUAUGAGGAAGAAAACAAUGGGUCUCAUUUUGUGUUUAUGGAUGUUUGGAACAUGGUUCGUAAUGAGGCAAAAUGGUUAUCUUAUAAUGACCGCAGCAACCAAAAUAAAAGGAAGGAGAUGGACAACAGCAACCCAAUAGUAGAUGAAGGCGAAGAUAUCGAGCUCCCUAGACCCAUUGGACAGAAGGCUGCUAAGAAGGCUGCUUUUGAGGCAAAUGGGAAGGUUGCUAAGAAGGCUGUUUUUGAGGCAAAAGGGAAAGAACGCCGAGUUGAUGAGCUGGACAGAUUUGAAAAGAUUCAAAAUGGUUGCCAUGCCAAUCGUAUGAAGGUUCUUGAAAUGCAACAAAAGAUAAGCAAUGACAAGAUUGAGGCAUCAAAAUUAUCUCUGCAAGCAGCAAAGGAUGAGAAGGAAGCAAAGUUGUUGGAAAAAGAGUCCAAGAUGCUGGAAAAAGAGUCCAAGAUGCUAGAAACUUACUCUUGUCUCCUCAAGCAAGACAUGUCUGCAAUGCCUGAUGAAAUUCGAGCUGAACACAUUGCUGCACUCAAAAGUUUGAGAAAAAAAUUAUUUCUAGAUU